rnacentral:rRNA from 1 species
CUACGGGGUGCAGCAGUGGGGAAUAUUGCACAAUGGGCGCCCUCCUUCUUCCCCCCUUCCGCGUGUAUGAAGAAGGCCUUCGGGUUGUAAAGUACUUUCAGCGGGGAGGAAGGGAGUAAAGUUAAUACCUUUGCUCAUUGACGUUACCCGCAGAAGAAGCACCGGCUAACUCCGUGCCAGCAGCCGCGGUAAUACGGAGGGUGCAAGCGUUAAUCGGAAUUACUGGGCGUAAAGCGCACGCAGGCGGUUUGUUAAGUCAGAUGUGAAAUCCCCGGGCUCAACCUGGGAACUGCAUCUGAUACUGGCAAGCUUGAGUCUCGUAGAGGGGGGUAGAAUUCCAGGUGUAGCGGUGAAAUGCGUAGAGAUCUGGAGGAAUACCGGUGGCGAAGGCGGCCCCCUGGACGAAGACUGACGCUCAGGUGCGAAAGCGUGGGGAGCAAACAGGAUUAGAUACCCCCGUAGUC